UGAUUUUUUUCGCACCGCACUCGUUCGGACCCGGUUCGGACCCAUUCGCAUGCGGUCUGCGAAUCUCCAUAGGAAAUGAAUGACUUCUGGUCGUUUCGAAGCCGUAUCGGAGCUGAUUUCAACUGCCAGUGUGAAGGCGGCGUAAAGGACCUUGCACACUGCUCCAACAAACGGCAACAAACUCCAACAUUCUAAAGUUGGCAGCUGUUGGCAAUGGGCUAUAUGCACACGGAGGUGAUGACGUACUUCUGCUAAAAUUUCAGCCUGCUAAGCCAUUUCCGGUAGCACUGAGGCGAUUGUUUACAAAGCGAUAUAACGAUAGCAACAACAAUAUGACUGGUAAGAAAACGUUCAAAUUUCAGCGAACCAAUAACAGUACAGCCGAGCAUUGCUGUGUGUCUCUGUGUCAAGCUUCGAGCAAGUACAACAGUUUACUUAGUUUUCAUACAUUUCCAUCUGACGCGGAAAUCAGGCGAAAAUGGCUUGUCACUAUCCGGAGGGACGAAUUCACAGUUACUCCCCAUACUCAAGUAUGUAGCCGGCAUUUAAGUAAGGAGGAUGUUUGUGAGCCAGUGUCAGAGACAGGGAGGCGGCUAUUAAACAAGGGAGCUGUUCCAGCAUUAUUUGAGUGGAACAAUUUCACCCUUCCUACUUCACGACCGGGGGUAUGGGAGAGGAGAGAGCGUCCGCCGCAGGUGUUGGAGGAUGACAGCGACGCAGUGUGCGAGAAAGCUUAUAUCCCUAUGGACCACGACUACGCUUCGGCUCCAGAUCCUGCAGUUGUUGAUUUAGCCCUUGAUGACAACAUGUCUCUCAGAGAUGAGAUUCUCAAGCUGAGGGAACAUGUUGACAAUGAAUCAGCGCUUUGGAAUUCAUCGUUUUGCUGCCUCAGACAAGGACAUACAUUUUUUCACAAGAUUUGCAUCCUAUGACGUGCUGAUGAGAUUCUGGGCCUUAAUAGAGCCAUCACUGCCAUAUAUGGUCAGUGUGACACAAGCACAGAGAGGCACCUUUACAGAGCCAAGUUCCAUUGUAACUCGUUCCCUGCAGCCCAUUGAUGAGAUGUUCAUGUUUCUCAACUACCUGGCACUGGGUUCAAAACAGCGUGACCUUGCUGACCGGUCGGAUCAUUACAACGUGGAGUAACUUUCUGUACACUGUGCUAGGGUCUGUGAGGAUCUGGAUACCAGAGGAGAAAAUAAGGGCACAGCUGAGUUUAAGGACUGUGCAGACACU